UGGCGAACGGGUGAGUAACGCGUGAGGAACCUGCCUCAAAGAGGGGGACAACAGUUGGAAACGACUGCUAAUACCGCAUAAGCCCACGGGUCGGCAUCGACCAGAGGGAAAAGGAGCAAUCCGCUUUGAGAUGGCCUCGCGUCCGAUUAGCUAGUUGGUGAGGUAACGGCCCACCAAGGCAACGAUCGGUAGCCGGACUGAGAGGUUGAACGGCCACAUUGGGACUGAGACACGGCCCAGACUCCUACGGGAGGCAGCAUG
rnacentral:rRNA from 1 species